AACGCAAUCUAUAUCAAUAAACACAACCUGACCUGUAUGUGCAACUGCCCUACAUAAGCAGCACUUCCCCAGAGACUCUCUCCUCGCCUCCUAUCUCUGAACUAUCCUGCUAACGUUCUGGAGCCAUUUUAUAGGCCCGACUCCUCCUACUCCAGAACAUACCAUAUGAAAGCUAUGAGAAUGGACUCUCCGGUGACAUCACUCACAGGAACAAGAUGGCGGACACAAAGACCUAUAAAUAGACCGGAUGUCUAACUGAACAGGUUUGGCAAAUGACU
ensembl:lncRNA